GGUUUCCAGAAUCCCCUUCACCUCAGCGGCGUCAGUGUCCAGGCUCCCCGUCUUUUUAGCUAUGGUUUCCAGGCCUCCCUUCCCCUCAGUGGCGGCGGUGUCAAGCCUCCCCGUCUUUGUAGCUGGGGUUUCCAGGAUCCCCUUCACCUCAGCAGCGUCAGUGUCCAGGCUCCCCAUCUUUGUGGCAGUGGUUUCCAGGAUGCCCUUCUCCUCAGCAGCAUCAGUUUCAAGGCUCCCCAACUCAGCGGCAGUCUCAAGUCUCCUCUUCCCUCCAGCCGCACUUUGGGGGCUCCUCCCCCCCUCAGAAGUUUCUUGGCCCCCCUUCCUGCCACUGGCGGUGUUGGGGCUCCCCUGCCCCCUGCCAAGGGUGUCUAGGCGGCCCCGCAGGGGGGUGGCAGUUUCCAGGCCCCCCUGGGCCGCGGGCGCCCCCUGCCGCCCGGCGGUUUCCAGGCCCCUCCAGGCCGUCAGCUGGGUCAGCGCCUGGGCGGCCUCGGUCUCCUUCAGCAGCGGGUCCGGGCGGCGGCGCUUGGCGGCCGGGGAGGGUGGUGCGGUCCGGGGGACCCCCCCGUCCCCGCUCAUAGUUCGCUCCGCUCAGGCCCGGGGGCGGGGCCGCGCCAGCCCCCUCCCGCUCAACCCUCGUUUUCGAACGGAAGAGGCACGAGGGGAGCAACGGCCGCCGCCAACUGCCAAACUCCAGCGCCUCGCGCGUCUCUCCCUACCCGCUCUGGUCCUCUUUCCCCUUCCCGCGCUGAUUGGCCAGCGGCAGGGCGGCCCUGCCAACGGCGAGAGGGGAAAGCCUUCCGUCCCACGUGGGGGGGAGACCCGGGCGGCGAUUGGCCGGCGGCGCCAGCAAUCGUGGCGGGUUCCGCCUUCGUCCCGCACCCCACGUGGGGGAUCCGGACGCUGAUACGACAGUCGCCUUCUCGGCGGCGGCCAAUGGGCAGGAGACGGAACCAGGCUUGGUGGAGUCGGUCGCGUCCGCCAGAGAUGGGGCAGGGCGGGGCGGCGCUGGGGCUCUCGGCAGUGUCACA
rnacentral:lncRNA from 1 species